rnacentral:rRNA from 1 species
UAAUUGUUUUUUGUUUAUUUUUUGGUAUUGCAUAUUAAAAAUUGAAAAUUUCAUUUGGGAAUGAAAAAUAGAAUUAGGAGGUAGAAGAAGGAAAGGUUUUAUUGUUCUAAAAUAAAUAUUAUCCUUUUUGGUGUUGAUAUAUCGACUCUUAUGAUAUCUGUUUUUGUGAUGUUAUUAGAAAAUUGUAAUUUUUUUUUGGUUGAAUGUUGAAAGUUUGUGAUUUAAAGUGUCUGGUUGUUGUGUUUUAUAACAGUUUUUGUUUUUAAUAUAUCUGAGUUUUAUUGGUUCUAAAAGUUUUUAGGGUUGGAUUAUAAUUUUAUUAGUAGUUAUUUUAAUGUUGUUUUUUUAAUUAAAAUUUGGAAAGAAAUAAAGUUUUGGUCAAAUGUUUAUUAAAGUCUUAGGUUUUAGAUUAAAAUUCGCCUCUGCUCCAUGAGAUUUUUAAAUAGCAGUCUUAGCGUGAGGACAUUAAGGUAGCAAAAUAAUUUGUGUUUUUAUUGGAUUCCAGUAUGAAAGGGGUUAUUGGCUAAUGUUUUUUUUUAGUGUUGAUGAAUUUAAGAUUUACUUAAGAAAUAGUGGGUUUAUUUGAGCAAAGAUAAGUCUUUGGAAAUUCUAUUGGAUUUUGGUCUAAGUUUUCUAGGGUAGAGUUUUUUGUAAUUUUGUUUUACUAGUAGUAAUGAAAAGAAUUACUCCAGAGUUAACAGAAAAUCAUAUCUUAUCUAGUUCUUAUAGUAAGAUAAGUUUUACAUCGAUGUUGUAUUUUAUUUUUGAAAGGGGUAGAAGAUUUUUGAAUUAGAGACUGUUCUUCUUGAGAUAAAUAAACGUGAUAUUAGUUUAGCCCAUUGUGAAAUAGGGCGGUUUAUCUUGUCAAUUAAUUGGUUUUAAUUUAAUUAGUACGAAAGGAAUGUUAUAAAGACUUUAAGUCUUUUUAAGUUUUUAACUUAU